rnacentral:lncRNA from 1 species
UAAAAAUCCACCUAAUAACCAUAUAUUUACCAAAUAAAUGAAGUAUGUUGAAUGUGUUGAGUGAAUGUGUUGUGUUUUAUGUGAAGAAAACUAAGUGUUGUGAAGUUUGUUACAUGAUCGGUGCAUAGAUUUAUAUAGGGAGCAAAAAAAGCCACGGCUUAUCCGAGGGAAUGCCCCUCGCAUGCUUGGUCAAAUCCUAGCAUAUAGCUAGGUACCAGAUAGCAGCAGAACGACAGGAAGAAAGCCAGGGAUUCACGCAAUAAACGAGGGGUAUUGCCCCUGUCUCAACUGGACCGGACAGGCUUUUCAGAGCCUUGUCAAAUCAAC